AGCUUUGUGCAGUGGCAAUAUCAUAACCAGUGAGGUUUAUCCGAGGCACGAUUAUUGCUAAUUAAAAAAAAAAAAAAGAAACCCUAAGUCACAGUUUGACUUUUUCAGACACUAAAGUGCUUCCUAUAGCUUAUUAGU